ACUCAAAGGAAUUGACGGGGGCCCGCACAAGCGGUGGAGCAUGUGGUUUAAUUCGACGCAACGCGAAGAACCUUACCUGGGCUUGAACUGUCGAUGGUAGGCUGAAGGAAACUUUGGCCGACCCGAAAGGGAGUCGAUAGAGGUGCUGCAUGGUUGUCGUCAGCUCGUGUCGUGAGAUGUUGGGUUAAGUCCCGCAACGAGCGCAACCCCUAUCUCAUGUUGCUAUUCUCGCAAGAGAAGCACUCUUGAGAAACUGCCUUCGAUAAGAAGGAGGAAGGUGGGGACGACGUCAAAUCAUCAUGGCCCUUAUGUCCAGGGAAACACACGUGCUACAAUGGCCGGUACAAUGGGAAGCAAAACCGCAAGGCGAAGCCAAACCCCAAAAGCCGGCCCCAGUUCAGAUUGUGGGCUGCAACUCGCCCGCAUGAAGGCGGAAUCGCUAGUAAUCGCUGAUCAGCAGGCAGCGGUGAAUACGUUCCCGGGCCUUGCACACACCGCCCGU
rnacentral:rRNA from 1 species